GGAAUCUUCCACAAUGGGCGAAAGCCUGAUGCAGCAACGCCGCGUGAAGGAAGAAGGCCUUCGGGUCGUAAACUUCUAUCAGCAGGGAAGAAAACAGACGGUACCUGACUAAGAAGCCCCGGCUAACUACGUGCCAGCAGCCGCGGUAAUACGUAGGGGGCAAGCGUUAUCCGGAUUUACUGGGUGUAAAGGGGGCGCAGACGGCCAUGGCAAGCCCGGUGUGAAAGGCAGGGGCAUAACCCCUGGACUGCACUGGGAACUGUCAGGCUGGAGUGCCGGAGGGGUAAGCGGAAUUCCUGGUGUAGCGGUGAAAUGCGUAGAUAUCAGGAGGAACACCGGCGGCGAAGGCGGCUUACUGGACGGCAACUGACGUUGAGGCCCGAAAGCGUGGGGAGCGAACAA
rnacentral:rRNA from 1 species